rnacentral:rRNA from 1 species
UACGGAGGGUGCAAGCGUUAAUCGGAAUUACUGGGCGUAAAGCGCACGUAGGCGGCUUUCUAAGUCGGGGGUGAAAUCCUGGAGCUCAACUCCAGAACUGCCUUCGAUACUGGAAAGCUCGAGUCCGGGAGAGGUGAGUGGAACUGCGAGUGUAGAGGUGAAAUUCGUAGAUAUUCGCAAGAACACCAGUGGCGAAGGCGGCUCACUGGCCCGGUACUGACGCUGAGGUGCGAAAGCGUGGGGAGCAAACAGG